rnacentral:rRNA from 1 species
GACGAACGCUGGCGGCGUGCUUAACACAUGCAAGUCGAGCGGUAAGGCCCUUUCGGGGGUACGACGAGCGGCGAACGGGUGAGUAACACGUGGGUGACCUGCCCUCAGCUCUGGGAUAAGCCUGGGAAACCGGGUCUAAUACUGGAUAUGACUCCAUGACGCAUGUUGUGGGGUGGAAAGCCUUGUGCGGCUGAGGAUGGGCCCGCGGCCUAUCAGCUUGUUGGUGGGGUGANGGCCUACCAAGGCGACGACGGGUAGCCGGCCUGAGAGGGCGACCGGCCACACUGGGACUGAGACACGGCCCAGACUCCUACGGGAGGCAGCAGUGGGGAAUCUUGCGCAAUGGGCGAAAGCCUGACGCAGCGACGCCGCGUGAGGGAUGACGGCCUCGGUUGUAACGU